GAUGAAGAACGUAGCGAAAUGCGAUAAGUAAUGUGAAUUGCAGAAUUCAGUGAAUCAUCGAAUCUUUGAACGCACAUUGCGCCCGCCAGUAUUCUGGCGGGCUUGCCUGUCUGAGCGUCAUUUCAACCCUCAUGCCCCUAGGGCGUGGUGUUGGGGAUCGGCCAAAGCCCGCGAGGGACGGCCGGCCCCUAAAUCUAGUGGCGGACCCGUCGUGGCCUCCUCUGCGAAGUAGUGAUAUUCCGCAUCGGAGAGCGAUGAGCCCCUGCCGUUAAACCCCCAACUUUCCAAGGUUGACCUCAGAUCAGGUAGGAAUACCCGCUGAACUUAAGCAUAUCAAUAAGCGGAGGA
rnacentral:misc_RNA from 1 species